rnacentral:rRNA from 1 species
ACGUCUGUGUUACAGAUGACUUGUAUGCUGACAAUAAAGCAAGUUUGAUGAUGAAAGGAGAGGAGAGCCCCUACUACGAGGCGCCAGCUGCUGUAAGAGAAGGGGGGAGAGCGUUGUCUCGGAAUCACUGGGGGUAAAGCGCGCGCAGGCGGUAGAGUCAGUCAGACGUGAAAGGGUUCGGCUCAACCGAACCACUGCGUUUGAUACUGCUUUACUUGAGUCUGGAAAAGGAAAGUGGAAUGUACGGUGUAGCGGUGAAAUGCUCACAUAUCGUAUAGAACACCCGUGGCGAAGGCGGCUUUCUGGUCUAAGACUGACGCUCAUGCCCGAAAGUUUGGGGAGCAACCGGGAUUAGAUACCCCGCUAGUCCUUACUGUAAACGAUGGGUACUAAGUGUAGGGGGUAUUGUUUUCCUUCUGUGCUGUAGCUAACGCAUUAAGUACCCCGCCUGGGCAUACAACCGCAACCCUACCACUCAAGGUAAUUGACGGGGGGCCGCACAAAGUGGUGGAGCAUGUCGCUUAAUUCUACACACGCGAAAACCUUUAUCCCGGGCUUGACAUCGCAGUGACCGCUAUAGAAAAUAUA